CAGCAGCCGCGGUAAUACGAAGGGUGCAAGCGUUAAUCGGAAUUACUGGGCGUAAAGCGCGCGUAGGUGGUUCAGUAAGUUGGAAGUGAAAUCCCCGGGCUCAACCUGGGAACUGCUUUCAAAACUGCUGAGCUAGAGUACGGUAGAGGGUGGUGGAAUUUCCUGUGUAGCGGUGAAAUGCGUAGAUAUAGGAAGGAACACCAGUGGCGAAGGCGACCACCUGGACUGAUACUGACACUGAGGUGCGAAAGCGUGGGGAGCAAACAGGAUUAGAUACCCCUGUAGUCCCUGUCUCUUAUAC
rnacentral:rRNA from 1 species